CAUCAGCUUUAUACCUCUAGCAGAGGCAGCCCUAGGUUUUUUCGCUAUGUAAACAAACCUAGGGCUGCCCCCCCCCCCCAAAUUACGCUCCCACCCAACAUACCGCCAGUGGCGGCACGUUCUCUAGCUGCGGAACUACGAAGGCCUCCAGGAAGGCCUCGCUUUCUCGCGAGAUUUUGCGAAAUCUCACAGAAAUCUCACGAUAUUUUGCAAGAUCUCACAGAAAUCUCACGAAAUCUCGUAAGAAGAGCGAGGACUUCCUCAUUCCGUGGCGAGCAACCUGAUGGUCGCCGGCGCCACUACCACCGCCACCGCCGCCUAGAGAGCGUCCCCAAGGGCUUCAACAGCUUCAAUGAUGCACUGGCCCUGACCUCUAGCAUGUCUAGAAUUUGUUAUUUUUCUCAAGGCCUAUAACUCAGAUUAUUUAGUGACAGCACUGUCCUGGAUUUGUGAGAAGAAGCAGAAGCAGAAGCGGAAGCGGAGGCGGAGGAGGAGGAGGAGGAGGAGGAGGGGGGGGUGUAUUGAACUGUAUGAUUCGGUCCGGCUAAGGACCUAUUAAGGCCUGGCAAGACUGAAGAUACCAUCCUAAGAAACUUGAGGCCUGAAAUGCCAUUAUGGAGAAACAGAGGUGAAUUAACUUUGGAAUGAAAACUGCUGAACUGACAUAACUAAUCUGGGAACUUUUUGUGUAAACAACAUAUGUUUACAUAGUCCGAGAUAAUAACUCUUUAAGUUAAGGAAGUCAGAACAACAUAUCUUCUGGUACUGAUGGAGCUUCAGCAAGUCUUAGCUGAAUGACAAGUUGUAAAAACAAUCCAGAACAACAACAGCAAAAAGGUUCAACAUAAGGAGACCCUUUUCUCUUUGAAAGGUGUGUCAGAUCUCAGAGGAAUGCAGGAUCUGAACACCCGCCUCCUUCCAAGAUGGACUGAAGGAAGGAAGGACGGUGAAUAUGUAUGUGAGUCAAUGAUGAGUAGAAGUUUCCCUUUUGUCUGUGUAAUGAAUAUAGCUAUUACAAAAUCCAGUACUGGAGUUUGUGUGUCUACUUCUUUCUCUGAAAGUACCUGAUGCACUCUUUCCCAUUGAAAAUGAAUUAAAGAACAUUUUAAGAUUCAAAAAGUAUUCAUGAUAGAUUUACCCCUUAAUGCCACUCCUACCUGUAAUAUACUGAACUGAAAUUGUAUUGCUGUACACACCUCAAAUUUAAACCAGCACUGCUUGUAGAGGUUUACACAUGAGUAAGCAAAAGGAUGAUUCCUGUAUCCCCCAUCUCAUCUGCUGUGGUGACUGUAGCCACUGCCAUCAUCCUAACCUUGCCCAGUGAGACCUGGUGCUCACUCCAUUUCCAGCUCAAUAUCCAGUUCUGGUGGUAUUGCUUCUCCCUGACACCUUGUGGCUGGACAGCCUGAAGGGUUGAUCCAGAGCUGCUGCCAUUUUGUCACUCAAGGAGAGUUGCAGGCUGCCACCAGAACCACAACUAAAAAAAUAACUCAGCUAGAACACAACACACACAUUUGGCCAAUAAAACAAGUAUCUCUGAAUUCAGACUACUUCAUUUUUAUUUAUUGCAUUUGUAAUAUCUCAUUGUAAUGCAUACAGAAAAUAACAGAAAAUAUUUUGUGGUUCUAUGAAGAAACAACAUUCCACAGAACCAAUAUCUGAUUUGCUGAAAUGAAAACAUGGGAAAAUGUUUAGGAGAAUAUCUCAUAUUUUCACAAUGUCUGGAUCCAGAAAGAGGAUAAUAAGGAAAUGUACUGUUGUGAUACAAGAAUCCGUCAUAAAUAUUUCAAAAAAAUUCAUAUUCUGAUACAAAAUAUUUUAAAAAUCUAUUUUAGCAGCGAUAGAUGUAAAGUCACCAAAAGUAUAAUCCACAGCAAACCACCUAGAUGGGGAAAAAAAGAUCCAGUAAGAAGUAGUUUGAAACGAUCUGUAAGCCUGCUGUUUUCCUACCACUUACAUUGGAAAACAGCACAUAUAGGCAGCACAUGUAGUAACAGGCAGUGGUGUAAAACUUAACUAUGAUUAAGCUUGCUAGUUUUGUACCACUUUCUUUCUUAUGAGCAUAACUAACAAUACCCUGGAACUUUGAAGACUUGAUCAGAAUCACAGAUUUGAGGCCUCUUCUACACUGCCACAUAAAAUCCAGAUUAUCUGUUUUGAACUGGAUUAUAUGGCAGUGUGGGCACAUAUAAUCCAGUUCAAAGCAGAUAACCUGGAUUAUCUGCUUUGAUAAUCUGGACUACAUGGCAGUGUAGAAGUGGCCUGAAUCUCAAAAUCUGGAUUUAGAAAACGAACACAAAGGACUCUAUGAUAUUGUUUUUCACUCAAUAGGAGCUUCAGCACUCAUAUCUUUAACUAUGCGUGUGACACAAAAACUAUGCAACUGGAACACAUCAGCUAAAUCAGUCCAAGAAGACAUGGAGCAGAUAGAUGUCUCAUCAAUAGUUAUAGGGCUAUUUCAAAAGAAUUAAAAGUAAUCCCUAAUGGGACUUGCAAUUCUACACUAGCAAGCAGCACCACUGCAUUUGGACUGCUAUAUAGAAGACAACUGUGGGGUAUCAAUGUUGGUGAUCACUGAAUAAUAUGUCUUUGGUAUUCUACAUCCAUCUGCCACACCAACUUUAAUAUCUGCAAAAUUCCAUAAAUUUCACAUUUUCCCUGGAAAAAGGUAGUUUUAGAAUAGGUCAUUGGUCUGCCUACCUGAUAUAUAUUCAGAGCUCUUGUUCUUCUGGUUCAUAUCUUAAAACCCAAGGCUCGCAUGCAUUCUUUAUGCGCUUCAAUAAGAGGACCACAGUGUUCCUCUCCCUUUUCAAUGAUGCUGCAAGGCAAAAGUUCUCAAGUAAGUGAUAUCAGAAAUUAGACAGAAUUGAAAUAUCCUAAGGAGGUUUGAUUUGGAUUCAUUCCGUUAUUCAAAACAUUAUUCUAACUUUAUUCCAUCUGCAUUCAGGACACUCAGAAGGAGGAGAUGGCUCAAAGCUCCAUGCUAGCCCUGGAUUUAGGUGAUCUUAUAGAUCAGAGGUGUCAAACUUGUGGCCUUCCAGAUGUUUGGGCCUUCAACUUUCAGAAGCUCUAGCUAGCUUCUGCAAUUGCCAGGAAUUCUACGUCCAAAACACUUGGAGGGCCAGAAGUUUGACACCACUGUUAUAUAUGAACCCUAUGUCAGAUUGAGGCACAAAAAUAGAGUUGUCUUCCUAUACAGUGUUCCCUUACUUAUUGCAGGGGUUAGGUUCCAAGACCACCCACAAUAAGUGAAAAUCCGCAAAGUAGGGAUACUAUAUUUAUUUUAAUAUUUAUACAUUAUUUUAGUAGUUGAGUCCAAACGGGACUCAAACAUGGCAGUGUAGGUUCAGCCUCAUUGUCAAAACUGAAAAUGAGCCAAUCUUUUUUUU